CAGCAGCGCCAGGCUCAACAGUCUCAACAGCAGCUCCAGGCUCAACAGUCUCAACAGCAGCUCCAGUUUCAACAGUCUCAACAGCAGCUCCAGGCUCAACAGUCUCAACAACAGCACCAGGCGCAAUCGUCUCAGCAGCAGUUCUAGGCUCAACAGUCUCAACAGCAGCUCCAGGCUUAACGGUCUCAACAGCAGCUCCAGGCUCAACAGUCUCAACAGCAGCUCCAGGCUCAACAGUCUCAACAGCAGCUCUAGGCUCAACAGUCUCAACAGCAGCGCCAGGCUCAACAGUUUCAACAGCAGCGCCAGGCUCAACAACCUCACCACUAACCUCAUCCACACCAAUUGCAUCAGCAGCAGUCACCUCAACUUCUCAAAUAGUGAGAAUAUCGACAACAGCAGCCAAAGCCACCACAACAGCAAGUGUCAACGGGACGACGACUGUUCCACCAGCAGCAUCAACUGCUUCAACAAGAGCAACAGCUGGACUACUGACGUCACAGACAACGGCGGUCACACCAAAUGCCACGGAAGGUCUAAUUGUGCCCGUGACGCAGCCACAAAUUAACGCAGCAAAGUCGACAACUACAGUCUCAACAGCAGCUCCAGGCUCAACAGUCUCAACAGCAGCUCCAGGCUCAACAGUCUCA